GGGUGCACGGCCUUGCAGGGCUGCACUUCAUGGCGGCAUCCAAAAGGAGAAGCUUUCCUGCCCUGCACCUUGCUGAGGCUGUUAGGGUUAGCUGACCUGGUGGUGCUGUUGCCACGGCUGAAACCUGCUGUAUUUCUGGUUGCAGCACAUGCCCUCAGUGGCUUCCAGCGGUUGGGGGCUGCCAGAAACCCAGGCAGCAGCUGCCGUGCUCGGCCCUGCGAGGCUGUGAUCUAUAACGUGCAUUGUCUUUUUAUGUAAUGUGUUUUAUUAAACAUCUUCUAAAGCUUACAAGUGUCCCCAGGACAUAACUCUCCAGCACAACGCAAUGCUCUGCCAAGAAAUGAAGCAUGAUUUAUGGUGGUAACGGUUAUCCUCUGCUUUUCUUAAAAAACAUUAUUACAGCAAUAGCUCUGUCGAGUACAGGACUGUAACAUGCUGCAUUUGGCACGUUUAUGACAACAGUGCUCUGGUUUUCUUAACUCCACAGCUCGGAGCUGGCAGUAUGUCAAAUUCUUGAGACAGAUGUUUAAAUGAAUUUCUUAAGAGGACAGUGAAAUACUUCUAAAACAUCAUACGGCGCUGAGUGUCUCAAUAUGAGCAGCAACAUUAUUUCUUUAGCGUGCAGGUAGGGCAGGGCAGCACAUGGCCUCUCUGGUUUCAAUCUCACAGUAAAUAAUGGAAGUAGCAAAUGUUGAAUUAGCUUUCUGGGCAUCCCAGCCUGCUGUAACUUUCUGGUCAAGGUGGGGGAAUGAACGGGUGCCUGAUCUGCUGGAUAUCAUUCACAUUCGCGUAUCCUUUGUGAGCAGUGAAAACAGAUCCCCAUUUGUUUUGAAUGCAGUUCCCACCAUGUCGAUACAGGACUAAGUGGUCUCACGCUGACAUUGCGACUGUGUCAUUGUGGUCCCAGUGGUUAGGGUUUCAGACCAGAAAUGACAAUCAUUUGGGAAAAUGUAAAUGAGAACCCUGCUCGCAUCUCUGCGAGGCACAGAGCAGUCGAGAAUUUCCAUCAAAACACUGAAAAUUCUUGGGGUUUAAAAAAUUAAUCAUCCCAUUUUGUUUUUUUAGGUACUGGCUAAGGCGAGGAGAGUGCUGUAGUUAACAAAGCCAGGGUGUUCGGCUCUGGCACGGCUGCUCGCAGCUUUCCAGCACGGAAAACCAGGAACCCACAAAGGCAGAAGUCGGCAUUGUCGGAGACAUCAUCGCCCUCGGCACAGAGUGUGUUUGCGGCUGGGAGGGGAGGGCGCCCCACAACGAGGCUCCGCAGGCAUGCUCUCGGAUUGAAGACAAGGGAAGCAUUGGUAACAGAGGUAGUGGGUGACCGUGAGGCAACUUCAUAAUUGACAUAUCUGACGACUCGUAAAGGUUGCAUCCUGAGGAGAUAAGUCCAUUUCCCAGGUUCCUCUGUAGAGACACUUUCAGAUUAGCUCCUUCCAUUUCCCGCCUGAGCAUGCUCCUCCAUGGACAGGCCAGAGGCAGGGGCGACAGGGCAGUUGCCCUUCAGGUGGACCUGGAGGCUGCAGAGGUGAAUGUAGCUCUUGUGGCAGUGGAUGCAUUUAUGGGGACGUUCCCGGGUGUGAAGACGCUUGUGCAGCUUCAGGUGCACAAACUGGGUGAAUUUGGCUGGGCAGAGCUUGCACUGGUAAGGCUUCUCUCCAGAGUGGAGCCGCAGGUUCAACAGAAGGACUUUGCAGAACAUAAGCUCCUAGAAAUGUUCCUCAGUAAAAUAACAAGGCAUGACAAAUCGGCUUUUGCCAAACCGCAGCAGUCACUUCACCAGCCAGUUCAAUUACUUACAGUACCGAAAAAACCAUGGCUGGCUGGGAUGAAAGCUGCCUUCAAAGAGAAGGUAUUCUCCAUCAGUAAACAGAUCAUUACUCAUUAAAUAUACUGCUUAGGAAUAUCUACAACAAAGCAGACUAUUUACUGCAGAUUUCUGUGGCAUUCGGUCUAUGCAAAGCUCCUCUGCUUACAGCUGCACUUUAUAAAAAAAACUGCUGAAGCAAAGCAAAAGGAAGCAAGAGCAGUUGGCUCCAGCUUAAGCUGAAACGUACUUUAAAGAAAAAAAAAAGGAAAAAGAAAUAUUUAUUUAGAAGGAAAUAGAAGCUAGCAUCCAUUUGGCUCAGUUCAGCACAUACACUGUUUAUUUGUAUUCAAAGGCUCGACCUUGUUAUCUGGACAUAAUAUAAUCUGAAGAGUGUACUGAAAGAUGUCUUCAAUAGAAAAAGAAGUAUGCUUUUAUCUCAUCUCCCACAGUUAAUAGUUAUAUAAUCACAAAAUGAUGUCUUGUAAGAUAUUUUAUUACAGGGCAAAAACUACAAGAAGGUUUCAUAUUCAUGCUUACUUAUGUGCAAAGUUUUCCAUCAGGAGGUACAAGUCAAUGCCGCUAAGUAUGCAACUUGAAAGUAUCGCAGCCCUGCAGCCAAGUUUCUGCUUCUGUGCCUGACUGAUCUUACUUCACUAACUGAGGUGAGAAACUCUUAUUUCUGAUCUUUGGAGGACCAGCUGAACCCAGUGAGGAAGAUGGGAACAGGCAAUGACCACACCACUUUCAACACUGAUUCUUUGCUUGACUAUUCACUACCCUGAUGGAAUCUAUCAUUUGGCAACAUUACCCUAUAAGGCAAAGAAAUGGCCAUUUAUAAAAUGUACCCAAAAAAACCCAGCUGCUUUCAAAGCAUGCUCUUUCUCACAGCAACCCAUUUGUACAGUAGCAUCCUUCUUGAAAUGCUGCUAGACUAGCAGCAAGAAAAUUUAGUUUUGACAUGUGGGCAGUUUGUGUAUUUCCAAGUUGCAAUGAAAUGCUACUGAACAUGGUUAUGUUCAAUAAUAUAUUUAGGAUAAAACAUAGGGUGUGUUGCAAUGCAAGCACAUACGCAUGUAAGUGUGCAGAGAGGUUCCCAAUGUCUUCUUUUGAUGUUACAGCUUAAUGCAAGGCUGUUUCAGAAAUAAAUUAAUAGUAUGUUGUGUUGAAUGGCAUUAAAAAUCAUCUCCUUUCUUCGAUAGUUUUCUCUGUA